AUGCGGAAGAGAGGAUUGAAUGGCGAUGAUACCAUAAAGGAAUUUAAACUCGCAUCGGCAGAUGCUCAUGAAUCAGAUAAGAACAUUGAGAUAUGGAAGAUCAAGAAAUUGAUCAAGGCAUUGGAAUCUGCAAGAGGCAAUGGCACCAGUAUGAUAUCUCUUAUAAUGCCUCCACGUGAUCAAAUUUCUCGGGUCACUAAGAUGCUGGGUGAUGAAUUUGGAACUGCUUUAAACAUCAAAAGCAGGGUCAACCGUCAGUCCGUGUUGGGUGCUAUUACUUCUGCUCAAUAGAGGCUGAAGUUGUAUAAUAAGGUUCCUCCCAAUGGGCUGGUUCUUUAUACAGGAACAAUUGUUACUGAAGAUGGCAAGGAAAAGAAGGUGACAAUUGACUUUGAACCGUUCAGGCCUAUAAAUGCCUCUCUGUAUCUAUGUGAUAACAAGUUUCACACAGAAGCUCUAAAUGAACUUUUAGAAUCUGAUGAUAAGUUUGGUUUUAUUGUCAUGGAUGGAAAUGGUACUCUCUUUGGGACAUUAACUGGAAACACACGAGAGGUGCUACACAAGUUCACUGUUGACUUACCAAAGAAGCAUGGAAGAGGAGGGCAGUCAGCUUUGCGUUUUGCCCGUCUUCGGAUGGAAAAGCGGCAUAACUAUGUGAGAAAGACUGCAGAACUUGCCACACAGUUCUUCAUCAACCCUGCCACCAGUCAGCCUAAUGUUUCUGGACUCAUACUUGCUGGUUUAGCCGACUUCAAGACUGAGCUGAGCCAGUCGGAUAUGUUUGAUCCUCGCUUACAAGCAAAGAUAUUGAAUGUCGUUGAUGUCUCCUAUGGGGGAGAAAAUGGGUUCAAUCAAGCUAUCGAGCUGUCUGCAGAGACUCUAUCUAAUGUAAAGUUCAUAUAGGAGAAGCGCUUGAUUGGCAAGUAUUUUGAAGAAAUCAGCCAGGAUACGGGAAAGUAUGUCUUUGGUGUAGGUGACACAUGGAAGGCUUUGGAAAUGGGUGCUGUUGAAAUCCUAAUUGUGUGGGAAAAUCUGGAUAUCACUAGGUAUGUGCUGAAAAACAUUGCAACUGGUGAGAUUAUCAUAAAGCAUUUGAACAAAGAGCAAGAAGCCAACCAGAGCAAUUUUCGGGAUCCAGAUACCUCUGCGGAGUUGGAAGUUCAGGAUAAGAUGCCGUUGCUUGAGUGGUUUGCGAAUGAGUACAAGCGCUUUGGUUGCACACUUGAAUUUGUAACCAACAAAUCCCAAGAAGGGUCCCAGUUUUGCAGAGGAUUCGGUGGGAUUGGAGGCAUCCCUUGCUACCAGCUUGACAUAAGAUCAUUUGAUGAGCUAUCUGAUGAUGGCGAAGUAUAUGAGGAUUCUGAUUAAAACUGUUGGUGCUGCCGAGUGUGGGAGGCUUUAGCAAGU